AGCGAACGCUGGCGGCAGGCCUAACACAUGCAAGUCGAACGAACUCUUCGGAGUUAGUGGCGGACGGGUGAGUAACACGUGGGAACGUGCCUUUUGGUUCGGAAUAACUCAGGGAAACUUGUGCUAAUACCGAAUGUGCCCUUCGGGGGAAAGAUUUAUCGCCAUUAGAGCCGCCCGCGUCUGAUUAGCUAGUUGGUGAGGUAACGGCUCACCAAGGCGACGAUCAGUAGCUGGUCUGAGAGGAUGACCAGCCACACUGGGACUGAGACACGGCCCAGACUCCUACGGGAGGCAGCAGUGGGGAAUCUUGCGCAAUGGGCGAAAGCCUGACGCAGCCAUGCCGCGUGAAUGAUGAAGGUCUUAGGAUUGUAAAAUUCUUUCACCGGGGACGAUAAUGACGGUACCCGGAGAAGAAGCCCCGGCUAACUUCGUG
rnacentral:rRNA from 1 species